UAGUGAGUUUGAUCCUGGCUCAGGAUGAACGCUGGUGGUCGUGCUUAACGACGAUGCAAGUCGAACGCAAGUAGAAAUACUUGAGUGGCGGACGGGUGAGUAACGCGUGAGAAUCUGCCUUCUGGUCGGGGACAACCACUGGAAACGGUGGCUAAUACCGGAUAUGCCUAUGGGUGAAAGAUUAAUUGCCAGAAGAAGAGCUCGCGUCUGAUUAGCUAGUUGGAGAGGUAAGGCUCACCAAGGCAUCGAUCAGUAGCUGGUCUGAGAGGACGAUCAGCCACACGUGGGACUGACGACAC
rnacentral:rRNA from 1 species